rnacentral:tRNA from 1 species
AGGGAUAUAACUCAGCAGUAGAGUGUCACCUUGGUAUAGUGGAAGUCAUCAGUUCGAGCCUGAUUAUCCCUA